rnacentral:rRNA from 1 species
GACGUAGGUGGCGAACGUUAUCCGGAAUUAUUGGGCGUAAAGGGUGCGUAGAUGGCAUGAUAAGUUACUAGUGGUAAAACGAGGCUCAACCUCGUGGAAGUUAGUAAUACUGUCGUGCUUGAGUUCAGGAGAGGUUAACGGAAUUCUCUGUGGAGCGGUAAAAUGCAUAGAUAUAGAGAGGAACACCAAAAAAGGCGAAGGCAGUUAACUAUUCUGUUACUGACAUUGAGGCACGAAAGCGUUGGGGGAGCGAAACGG